UUCGAAAAUGGAGCCUCUCACAACUUACCCUCUGAAAAACUCAGUGCGUAAGGCGAGAGUCUUUGCUGUUUUUCUGUCAUUGGCCUUGUGUACUGCCAUUCUCUGCCUACUGCAACUCAGACUUUUUAAACCUAAAAUGAAGGAUUUUUAUUCUUUUGAAGUCAAGGAUUCACGAGGAAGGGUCGUUUCCUUGGAAAAGUACAGAGGAAAAGCAACUUUGGUUGUAAACGUGGCCAGUUACUGCCAACACACAGACAAAAAUUACAUCUCACUGCAAGAACUACACAGAGAGUUUGGUCCCUCCCACUUCACUGUGCUGGCUUUUCCCUGCAACCAGUUUGGAGAAACAGAGCCAAGUUCGAGCCAGGAGAUAGAGUCUUUUGCCAAAGGAAAUUAUGGAGUAACCUUCCCUGUUUUCCACAAAAUCAAGAUCCUAGGAUCAGAAGCAGAGCCUGCCUUUAAAUUUCUAAUAGAUUCUUCAAAGAAAGAACCUCGGUGGAAUUUCUGGAAGUACCUUGUCAACCCUGAAGGUAAAGUUGUGAAGUUUUGGAGGCCUGAAGAAUCCAUAGAAAGUAUCAAGCCAGAAGUAGCAUCAUUAAUCAGGGAGAUUAUCAUGAAAAAAAGAGAAGACCUCUGAAAAAAAGUCAUUCACUGAAUCCACUCGAGCAUGAGGUAUACAGCCUUACUACCUUUCUGGGAAGAGCUGCUAGAAGCUAAACCGUCAGUGUUCCAUUAAUACAUAAUUGCCCUGACCGAAAGACGUGAGGCCUAGGCGCAUCACAGCAGGGGUUCUGGAGACGAAUGCAACUGAAGAUAUUGGGGUUUCCAAUAUCUUCUGCAGGAACAUUACUGCACCGUGAAGAUCUCAGCUUAGUUGUUAAAGAGAUAUACAAAGAAAAGAAGAUUAUUAAAAGA